AACGAACGCUGGCGGCAGGCUUAACACAUGCAAGUCGAACGCCCCGCAAGGGGAGUGGCGGACGGGUGAGUAACACGUGGGAACGUACCUUUUGGUUCGGAACAACUCAGGGAAACUUGAGCUAAUACCGGAUGAGCCCUUAGGGGGAAAGAUUUAUCGCCGAAAGAGCGGCCCGCGUUAGAUUAGCUAGUUGGUGAGGUAAGGGCUCACCAAGGCUACGAUCUAUAGCUGGUCUGAGAGGAUGAUCAGCCACACUGGGACUGAGACACGGCCCAGACUCCUACGGGAGGCAGCAGUGGGGAAUCUUGCGCAAUGGGCGAAAGCCUGACGCAGCCAUGCCGCGUGAAUGAUGAAGGUCUUAGGAUUGUAAAAUUCUUUUACCAGGGACGAUAAUGACGGUACCUGGAGAAAAAGCCCCGGCUAACUUCGUGCCAGCCGCCGCUGUAAGAC
rnacentral:rRNA from 1 species